rnacentral:lncRNA from 1 species
UAACAACUCGAUUUUUUUUACCCUCCCAAAACCCUAACUUUUGCAAGUACAAUUCAAGCGCUCUUUUCCCGUGUCGCUUCGUUACCUGCAAGUCGGAGCUCUUCCCCUCUCUAGUUUCCCGUUCCAAAUGCUCAAUGACCUGAAUCCCGACCUAUACUCCUCCCUCUAUCUCUCCCUCUCCCUCUCCCUCUCCUGCUCUCUUUCGUACGAUGAAAAAGAGAAGAAAUGAGGUUGGUGACUGCAUAUAAGAGAGAACUUGAAAUUUUGCGAAUGACGGAAGGGCAUUUUGGGAAUUUAAUGCGAGUAUGCGGCCUGGGGACGAUGAUUAUCUCACGAGUCGAGCAUGGAAGUGAGUGACAGGUGCAAUCUGAUUGGCUCUUGGAGGACGUGAUCACUGUUUUCACUAGGCGUUGUACUACGAGUUUGUAUAUAUAAGCAUGUUUACAAAAAAAAAAAUAUUCAAU